rnacentral:rRNA from 1 species
GAAUUCGCCCUUAGAGUUUGAUCCUGGCUCAGGACGAACGCUGGCGGUGCGCCUAACACAUGCAAGUCGAACGGAGCUUAGAGAGCUUGCUUUUUAAGCUUAGUGGCGAACGGGUGAGUAACGCGUGAGUAACCUGCCCUAGAGUGGGGGACAACAGUUGGAAACGACUGCUAAUACCGCAUAAGCCCACGGUACCGCAUGAUACUGAGGGAAAAGGAUUUAUUCGCUUUAGGAUGGACUCGCGUCCAAUUAGCUAGUUGGUGAGGUAACGGCCCACCAAGGCGACGAUUGGUAGCCGGACUGAGAGGUUGAACGGCCACAUUGGGACUGAGACACGGCCCAGACUCCUACGGGAGGCAGCAGUGGGGGAUAUUGCACAAUGGGGGAAACCCUGAUGCAGCGACGCCGCGUGGAGGAAGAAGGUUUUCGGAUUGUAAACUCCUGUCGUUAGGGACGAUAAUGACGGUACCUAACAAGAAAGCACCGGCUAACUACGUGCCAGCAGCCGCGGUAAAACGUAGGGUGCAAGCGUUGUCCGGAAUUACUGGGUGUAAAGGGAGCGCAGGCGGGAAGACAAGUUGGAAGUGAAAACCAUGGGCUCAACCCAUGAAUUGCUUUCAAAACUGUUUUUCUUGAGUAGUGCAGAGGUAGAUGGAAUUCCCGGUGUAGCGGUGGAAUGCGUAGAUAUCGGGAGGAACACCAGUGGCGAAGGCGGUCUACUGGGCACCAACUGACGCUGAGGCUCGAAAGCAUGGGUAGCAAACAGGAUUAGAUACCCUGGUAGUCCACGCUGUAAACGAUGGAUACUAGGUGUGGGGGGACUGACCCCUUCCGUGCCGCAGUUAACACAAUAAGUAUCCCACCUGGGGAGUACGAUCGCAAGGUUGAAACUCAAAGGAAUUGACGGGGGCCCGCACAAGCGGUGGAGUAUGUGGUUUAAUUCGAAGCAACGCGAAGAACCUUACCUAAGCUUGACAUCCUUUUGACCGAUGCCUAAUCGUAUCUUUCCCUUCGGGGACAGAAGUGACAGGUGGUGCAUGGUUGUCGUCAGCUCGUGUCGUGAGAUGUUGGGUUAAGUCCCGCAACGAGCGCAACCCUUGCCUUUAGUUGCCAGCAUUAAGUUGGGCACUCUAGAGGGACUGCCAGGGAUAACCUGGAGGAAGGUGGGGAUGACGUCAAAUCAUCAUGCCCCUUAUGCUUAGGGCUACACACGUGCUACAAUGGGUGGUACAGAGGGCAGCCAAGUCGUGAGGCGGAGCUAAUCCCUUAAAGCCAUUCUCAGUUCGGAUUGUAGGCUGAAACUCGCCUACAUGAAGCUGGAGUUACUAGUAAUCGCAGAUCAGAAUGCUGCGGUGAAUGCGUUCCCGGGUCUUGUACACACCGCCCGUCA